ensembl:lncRNA
UUAUUAUGUGGAUAAUAAUACAUGUUUCUAUGUACAGCAGAUAGUUCUUUCAAAGUGGAGGGAAAUGCCUUAUGUAGCCGCUUACUCGGAGCUUUGAGAAUUUAUGUCUGUCUAUAGCUCGAUCAAGUGUCUUUUUUCACCAGCCAAAAAACUAGAGACUUAGGAAAUGUAGAAUGACUUCUAGCCUCCUGGAAUUGCUGACAAGGGCAGGUGGGAAACAGCCACAAAAGCAUAAAAAUGAUUAUAGGCAAACAUUAGCCUCAACAGGUUAAAAUGUGAUUUCUUUAGGGCUCAAUCUGAAAUUUGCUUUGAUUAAGGUUGAAAUCAUGUUCUAUUACCCUGGAAAUGAACACACAUAGGAUUGUGCUAUCAGUUUUGCAACCAUCCUAUUGUUAAUAUAAUAAUACUACAAAUUCUACAAAUCAUUUGCAUUUUCCUGUAUAUCCUUCAAAAUAGAAAUUUAAGGGCUUAAUGUCAGGACACAGACCCCUUUGAAAAAGCCGCACACAAGAAGUAGAAACAACAAACGUUUAAUAAAUAAUAUUCUGAACCUAAGAACACUUAACUUCAGUGUUCCUGGUAAAAGUAAAUGCCUUUAGCUUCAAGAAAGGCAAAAAUGUGGGAACAGAAAAUAAUCUGUCUUAUCUUGCUUGAUAAUCCGACUUAACUCCAGCCAAGAGUCUACUGAAACUGCGGUCAUGCCCAACUACGGUAUGAAAAGCCAAGAAAGGCCCAAACGCACACCUGUAGCGAGAGCAGGCGACGCCGUAGUCCAAAAGCCAAGCCAAAUCCAGGAACCAAAGGAAAGCCAACCGGGAGUAGCGAUGCCGUUGUCAAAAGCCAAGCCAAAUUCAGGAACUGGGAGAAGCGAUGUCGUCAUCUGGAGUCAAACCGAAUUCAGGAACUGGGAGAAGCGAUGCCGUCAUCAGGAGCCAAACUGAAUUCAAGAACCGAGAGAAGUGAUGCCGCCGUCAGGAGCCAAACCGAAUUCAGGAACACGAAGCUGUACAGCCAGGACCCAAGCCCAACAGAAGAACAGGCAGCGACAAUCCAAUGUCCAAAACGACACCUUGCCUUCUGCAAGGAGUCUUUACUUCCAACUCCACUUUUAACUUACACAUCGUUAUCCGACGAUGAUGAGGCCUCCGUCCUGUCAUCAUUAUCCACAGCUGACCUUGAUCCCAUACGUGAACCUCACCCAUCAACCCUCCAGUCCCUCCAUCUUUCUUCAAGACUUAGAUCUCCCCAUGUCCCUGGUGUAUCAGUAGCUUGCCAAUCCCCUGAUGCAUCCCCAACAAUUGGCAUAUAUCUCCUCAGUCAUGUAAUAAUACCCAGGCAGCAUUCAUAUAUAGUUGGAAGGAAAGAGAAGAUACUCUUCUGGGACUCUUGCUCAUUCUCUAGAGAUCUCCAAAGGCAAAAGCUAUUUCCUCAUGUCUGCAGAAGGCCAAUUUGCACCAUCUACCAAGCAUUAAAUGGCUGUGGAAGCAUGAGCCAUUGUUGGAAAACUGCCUUCCAUAUGAGAUGGAAGCAGAAAUCCAGUAAAACUGCAUAG